UACAGAGGUCUCAAGCGUUGUUCGGAUUUAUUGGGCGUAAAGAGCGUGUAGGCGGCCAGAUAGGUCAGCUGUGAAAACUCGAGGCUCAACCUCGAGACGUCGGUUGAAACCAUCUGGCUAGAGUCCGGAAGAGGAGAGUGGAAUUCCCGGUGUAGCGGUGAAAUGCGCAGAUAUCGGGAAGAACACCCGUGGCGAAGGCGGCUCUCUGGGACGGUACUGACGCUGAGACGCGAAAGCGUGGGGAGCGAACAGG
rnacentral:rRNA from 1 species